AAGCCCUGGAUCCCAAUGGGGACAUCCAGCCCCAUAGCAAAGCCCUGGAUCCCAAUGGGGACACCCAGCCCCAUAGCAAAGCCCUGGACCCCAAUGGGGACACCCAGCCCCAUAGCAAAGCCCUGGACCCCAAUGGGGACACACAACCCCAUAGCAAAGCCCUGAUCCCAAUUGGGGCACACCAGCCCCAUAGCAAAGCCCUGGAUCCCAAUGGGGACACCCAGCCCAUAGCAAAGCCCUGGAUUCCCAAGGGGGACGCCCAGCCCCAUAGCAAAGCCCUUGGACCCCAAUGGGGACACCCAUAGCAAAGUCCCACACCCCAAUGGGGACACCCAGCCCAUAGCAAAGCCCUGGAUCCCAAUGGGGACACCCAGCCCCAUAGUGGAACCCAUAACCCAAAGGAGAUGACCAAACCCCAAUACAGUGGGAUCCUCCU
rnacentral:lncRNA from 1 species